GCAACGAGCGCAACCCUUGUCCUUAGUUACCAGCACGUUAUGGUGGGCACUCUAAGGAGACUGCCGGUGACAAACCGGAGGAAGGUGGGGAUGACGUCAAGUCAUCAUGGCCCUUACGGCCUGGGCUACACACGUGCUACAAUGGUCGGUACAGAGGGUUGCCAAGCCGCGAGGUGGAGCUAAUCUCACAAAACCGAUCGUAGUCCGGAUCGCAKUCUGCAACUCGACUGCGUGAAGUCGGAAUCGCUAGUAAUCGCGAAUCAGAAUGUCGCGGUGAAUACGUUCCCGGGCCUUGUACACACCGCCCGU
rnacentral:rRNA from 1 species